AUAGCUAUAGUAUAAUGGUAAUACACUAUGCUUCUAACAUAGAAUAUGAGAGUUCGAAUCUUUCUAGCUAUU
rnacentral:tRNA from 2 species